rnacentral:rRNA from 1 species
AUUGAACGCUGGCGGCAGGCCUAACACAUGCAAGUCGAGCGGAGCGGCGGACGGGUGAGUAAUGCCUAGGAAUCUGCCUGGUAGUGGGGGAUAACACUUGGAAACAGGUGCUAAUACCGUAUACUGAUGGAUGGACCCGCGGUGCAUUAGCUAGUUGGUGAGGUAACGGCUCACCAAGGCGACGAUCCGUAACUGGUCUGAGAGGAUGAUCAGUCACACUGGAACUGAGACACGGUCCAGACUCCUACGGGAGGCAGCAGUGGGGAAUAUUGGACAAUGGGCGAAAGCCUGAUCCAGCCAUGCCGCGUGUGUGAAGAAGGUCUUCGGAUUGUAAAGCACUUUAAGUUGGGAGGCGUUACCAACAGAAUAAGCACCGGCUAACUUCGUGCCAGCAGCCGCGGUAAUUC